AUGCCCCUCCUAUUAGUAACAUUGGACCCAAACCCUUUCAACUUCCAAUUUUCCUUUCCGCCCCUGUUUUCUCUCCGCUAACCUUCCUUACCAAACACGCAACCUAUGAUCCACAAUGAAGGCUUCGGCAGCGUGUCUUGUGGCAGUGCGAACAACACACGACGGCGAGCAGCAACACUCCGGCGAACCAAUGAUUCUUUGAGAAGACGUGAAGCAGUGGUGACACUCCGACGUUUCUGGUGCAACGAAGACCCUCCCCUCCGACAUGUUUCCAAACAACGAAUCAAGCCCCAAAUUUCUCUUCUUCUCUCUUCAGAAUUCAAUCGUUUCUUAGAGGACGUCGAAUCUUCAAAUCAUUGUAAAAAAAGACCCUACAAAGACGGUUCCAAUCAAGGAUAAGAAUAAAGGACAAAAGGAGAACACUACAAGCAUGCUGAAGCAGCGAGACGAGGAUGAAAUUGCGGUAUCUUCUUAUUCAUACGUCGUAUAUAAUAAAACUUACACAGUACUGAAAAUAGUUUACUUAGUCUAUAACUUGUAAUCUACUGCCAACAUUUUGUUACUUACACAAAUUUUACAAUUGUAAAACUUCCAUCAUGUAAAAUCUGGCUAAGAAUGAUCAUAUAGUGUUCCUGCGUUGAUUGGUUUAAUUCCUGAAAAAAUGUAACAAGAAAAUGGGUGGGGAUUAAUGACACAUUGUGCAAGAAUAUUAAAGAGACACCGUAUUUAAGGUUGCUGA